rnacentral:rRNA from 1 species
AUGAUAAGCUUCUCCAAGCUAGCGGAUGAGCUGAAGUUGAUAGAUAAUUCGGUCGCUAGUGGCAAGCUGAUGGAUAAUUCUACCACACCAUCCCAACUGCAACCAUCGGGACUAGAGGUGGACAAGGACGAUGGCAAGAUAAGCUUCUCCAAGCUGGCGGAUGAACUAAAGUUGAUGGAUGAUUAUGUUGCACCAUUCCAACUUCAACCAUCAUCGCUGGAGGUGGAGCAGGAGGAUGGCAAAGUGAGCCAACAGAAGAAGAGGAGGGCAUCAACCAUGAGUGUGGCGACCGGGGUGAUGAGCACCCUCAGUGGCAAGCUUACCACUUCCAUCAGCGACGAGUACAAUGAGCGCAAAGAGGUGAGGAAGCAGGCGUCAUUCCUGCAGAAGGAGUUGAGCGCCAUAAAUGCUACUCUUGAGCUGCCAGAGCUCAUGAAUGAGCUCGCUCCAGGGGCAAAAAAUUGGAGGGAUGAUCUCAGGGAGAUUUCCUAUGACAUGGAGAAUUGCAUUGAUGACUUCAACCGCCAAUUUGGAGGUGAGGAUGUUGAGGUAGGCUUUUUCUGGGAGGAUGUUGAACUUCACAAGAGGUUGUGCGAGCUUCAUCAGAUUUCCAACCAGAUGGAAGAGCUUAGGACUCUUGCGGUACAAUCAAAUGCUCGAUGUGAGAGUUACAAGAUUGAUAAUUGCAAGGCUAGCUAUGGUUUUGUAGCUGUCGACCCUCGGCUUCCCGCGAUCUACCAGGAGGCAAUCAGCCUUGUGGGCAUUGACGGCCCAAUGGAGGUGGUUUCCAAUUGGUUGAUGGAUACUCAGGAAAAACUCAAGGUUGUUUCUAUUGUGGGUUUUGGAGGUCUGGGUAAAACUACACUUGCCAAACAGGUGUAUGACAAGAUCAGGCAAAAUUUUGAUUGUGUAGCAUUCAUUUCAAUUUCACUGAGGCCUGAUAUGAGAGUACUUCUCAAUCGCCUAAAAUUGAAAUUUGGGAUAUAUGAGUCUUCUAACGAUCACGGAUUUGACGACAUCAUUGAAGAGCUAAGGAAGUAUCUUGCAAAUAAAAGGUACCUUAUUGUAGUUGAUGACUUGUGGGAUCAAUCAGCAUGGAAUACUAUUAGUUGUGCUUUUCCAGAUAAUGGUAAUGGGAGCAGAGUAUUAGUAACCACACGAGUGGAAGAUGUGGCUAGUGUGGCAUGUCGCUGUGACCGUGAAUGCAUUUACACAAUGAAGCCUCUCAAUGAAGAAAACUCUAGAAUGUUAUUCUCGAAUAGAGUAUUUGGGGCUGAAGUUGUUUGUCCACCCUAUCUUAAAGAUGUCACGGCUGAAAUUCUGAAGAAGUGUGGAGGAUUGCCGCUUGCAAUAAUCACUAUAGCUAGCCUAUUAGCUACUCAGGUGAGAUCAAUGAAACACUGGGAGAACAUAAGAAAAUCUUUGCGUGUCCAAUCUGCCCCAAAUCCUUCAUUGAAAGACAUACAAAAUAUAUUAAACCUUAGCUACACACAUCUUCCUCUUCAUCUCCGGGCAUGUUUUUUGUACCUUGGUAUGUAUGCUGAGGACCACAUCAUAAGGCGGGAUCAGCUGGUUAAACAAUGGAUAGCUGAAGGCUUCGUCAGCAGUUUGCAUGGGCCAGAUUUGGAGGAUGUUGGCAGGAAUUAUUUUAAUGAGCUCGUCAACAGAAGCAUGAUUCAGCCAUGCAAAACUAGCUAUGGAGAGGUGUUGUCUUGCACAGUACAUGACAUGAUGCUUGAUUUGAUCCUAUGCAAGUGUGUAGAAGAUAAUUUUAUAAGUCUGGCAUACAAUUCUGAGGACAUCGCGAGACUACUGCAUCGCUGCAAAAACAAGGUUCGCCGACUAUCCCUGAGCUCCAUGGCUGUUGGUGGAGCAACAUAUGACACGGCUAUUGCUGCUAGGCUGUCACAAGUUCGAUCAUUACUGUUCAAUAAGCCUAUACUCCCUCUUUUGUGGUUCAAGUACCUCAGGGUGCUAAUCAUUUAUAAUAGGUGGGGGAUGAUUGACCUCACCGCUGUUAGCCAAUUGUUUCAGCUGAGGUGUCUGAUGGUAAGUUCUGAUGGGAAGAUAAAGCUCCCUACUAAACUUGGAGAGCUUGUUCACUUGGAGACACUGGACAUAGAAACUUGCAGACUGAUGGAGAGCAUCCCCUCAGACAUAGUUAAUUUACCCCACUUGUCCUAUCUGCUUCUUCCACCUGGGACAAAGUUGCCUGAAGGUAUCGGGAAUAUGAAAUUACUGCGCACUCUGCGAGGGCUUGACAUGGAAAAGAGCUCGCUGGAGUGUUUUAUGGGUCUUAGCGAGUUGACCAAUCUGAAGGAACUGUGUAUGUCAGUAGGUUCAUUGGAAAUGUUGAUGGGGUUGACAAAAGUUGAUGCUUUGGCUUGCUCCAUUGGAAAACUAUGUAAUCUUGAAUCUCUGUUCAUCUCUGGCAUUCAUGUUGAGCGUGAGGAUAGCCAGCAGCUGGGCUCAUUAUCCAAUCCUUUUCGACAUAUUGAGCAUCUUGAAUUGUCUUUUUGGCGGUUAUGGAGAGUUCCAAAAUGGUUGUGUGGUCUCCAUUGCCUGCGCAACCUUAAGCUGUAUGUUGAAGAGACAUCAACUCAGGAUGUUCAUCUGCUUGGAGAGCUUCCCUCUCUUGUCCGCCUCGAAUUCAGAGCAUGUGAAAUCCCUGGGCAAAGAGCUAUGUUAGGCACGGGGCUAUUCCCAGUUCUGGAGUUCCUAAAUUUGUGGUCUAGGAAAGACACUACAGCGUAUCUGGGCUUCGAGGCAGGUGCUAUGCCCAGUUUACAAACACUCUGGUUCAGUGCGUCCAACUGGGGUGGCACAGUACCAGUCGGCAUGGAGCACUUGUUACACCUCCAGCAGAUCCAAGUGCAUGCGGUCUGCAUUAGUAAGGAUUCGGUGGACAGGUUGAAAGAGGCUGAGGAUGCAUUCAAGGAGGCCUUGCUGAUGCACCCGAACCACCCUUCUGUCAUACGUACUUCAUAG